CUUGCAGUCCACACGUGCCCCUGAAUUUUUACACAGGGUCUCUCCUGGUCUCCACCCACAACACACUGAUUCAUCCAGGAGGGUUGAAGCUUUGAGAACUUGACCCAAAGUCUCCCCCGUUACGAAUCUGUAGCCACCGCCAUCUUUACAAAUCGAACUCAGCUGCGUAAGUGCGCCGAGUCCUUCCCCACUUAGUAAGGCAGGCGUCACAUGAGGUGUUUGUUGAGUCUCAGCGCUCAGGCCUGCCUGCAGACCUUAGGAGGUAUGUUCCAUCUAGAUGACGGAACUUCCAGCACAGAUUGUCAGGAAGGAGAAUCUAGAAGUCCAAGACAGAGCUCCCCUACCACACAAGCCAGGACUCUGCCCUGCCUUGCCCUGUCCGGCAGGCCUAUGACCCCAGGGCUUCCUCCUAGAGCUUUUGGUAGGCCUCUGACCACCUGGCACUUACCUGAGUCUGGGGUCCUGCCUCAGCGGCUGCCAUCAUAUCCUGCCGGGCCUGUGGAAGGCUGGGCCAUGACUGUAAAGAUCCAGAUUGGUAGCUCUGGAAGGGUGAACUCCAACUCAGCCACUUUUUAGGAUUGAAAGAGAUUUCAAGUGUUCACGGAGAUGGCCAAAGGACGUCGUACCCUUAGAGCUCUCCUGAGUGGUCUAUCUCGCAUGAAUCUUCCGGUGU
rnacentral:sRNA from 1 species